rnacentral:rRNA from 1 species
GUAACACAGGUGCUGCAUGGCUGUCGUCAGCUCGUGUCGUGAGAUGUUGGGUUAAGUCCCGCAACGAGCGCAACCCUUGUCAUUAGUUGCUACAUUCAGUUGGGCACUCUAAUGAGACUGCCGGUGACAAACCGGAGGAAGGUGGGGAUGACGUCAAGUCCUCAUGGCCCUUAUAGGUGGGGCUACACACGUCAUACAAUGGAUGGUACAAAGGGUCGCCAACCCGCGAGGGGGAGCCAAUCCCAUAAAGCCAUUCGUAGUCCGGAUCGCAGUCUGCAACUCGACUGCGUGAAGUCGGAAUCGCUAGUAAUCGUGGAUCAGAAUGUCACGGUGAAUACGUUCCCGGGUCUU